CCUACGGGAGGCAGCAGUGGGGAAUAUUGCACAAUGGGGGAAACCCUGAUGCAGCAACGCCGCGUGAAGGUAGACGGUUUUCGGAUUGUAAACUUCUGUUCUUCGUGAAGAAUAAUGACGGUAGCUAAGGAGCAAGCCACGGCUAACUACGUGCCAGCAGCCGCGGUAAUACGUAGGUGGCAAGUGUUGUCCGGAAUGACUGGGUGUAACGGGAGCGCAGGCGGGAAGCCAAGUCAGCUGUGAAAACUACGGGCUUAAUGUGUAGACUGCAGUUGAAACUGGUUUGCUUGAGUGAAGUAGAGGUUGGAGGAAUUGCGGGUGUAGCGGUGAAAGGCGUAGAUAUUCGGAGGAACACCGGGGGCGAAGGCGGCCAACUGGGCUUUAACUGACGCUGAGGCUCGAAAGUGUGGGGAGCAAACAGGAUUAGAUACCCGAGUAGUC
rnacentral:rRNA from 1 species